rnacentral:rRNA from 1 species
UAUGUGAUCGUCUCUCGCAUAUCAAUAAGCGGAGGAAAAGAAACUAACAAGGAUUCCCCUAGUAACGGCGAGUGAAGCGGGAAGAGCUCAAAUUUGAAAUCUUAAAGGGUUUCCCUUUACGACUUGUAGUUUAAAGAAGUGUUUUCUGUUGAGGUUUUGGUAAAAGUUCUUUGGAAUAGGACAUCAUAGAGGGUGAGAAUCCCGUAUUUGACCUUUACUUUCAACUUUGUGAUACACUUUCAAAGAGUCGGAUUGUUUGGGAAUGCAGUCCAAAAUGGGUGGUAAAUUUCAUCUAAAGCUAAAUAUUGGCGAGAGACCGAUAGCGAACAAGUACCGUGAGGGAAAGAUGAAAAGAACUUUGAAAAGAGAGUUAAACAGUACGUGAAAUUGUCAAAAGGGAAGCGUUUGACACCAGUGUUGUUUUUCUGAAAAUCAAUUAAAGAACUGUUUAUGCUAAGUUGUUUAGACUUUAUCAGCUAACUGUUUAGUUUUGAGCUUUUCUUUAAUGCACUUUUCAGUUAACAAGUCAACAUCAAUUUCUUUUGCUGUAAAAAAGCUUGAGGAAGGUGGCUUGAGAUUCGUCUUAAGUGUUUAUAGCCUCUUGCCUAUGCAGUCGGAGAGAUUGAGGUCUGCAGCGUAGAUCCUUCGGGGCUAAAUGCAUUUGUGCUAAGUUAUAGCAUUUUAUAGACAACUUGUUGACUAUGAUUUGUCUUGUAGCUUACUCGCUUAUGUUAUUUUACCUACGCUUAGGAUGUUGAUCUACAGAGCGAGAGU